UACGGAGGAAGCUAGCGUUGUUCGGAAUUACUGGGCGUAAAGCGCGCGUAGGCGGCUUUGUAAGUUAGAGGUGAAAGCCCGGGGCUCAACUCCGGAACUGCCUUUAAGACUGCAUCGCUUGAAUCCGGGAGAGGUGAGUGGAAUUCCGGGUGUAGAGGUGAAAUUCGUAGAUAUUCGGAAGAACACCAGUGGCGAAGGCGGCUCACUGGACCGGUAUUGACGCUGAGGUGCGAAAGCGUGGGGAGCAAACAGG
rnacentral:rRNA from 1 species